rnacentral:rRNA from 1 species
UACAGAGUUACUACUCCAAAACCCAUUGUGAACCUUACCUAUGUUCUGUUGCCUCGGCGGCGUGGUCAGCGCCCCCUCUGAAAAGAGGACGAUGCCCUCCCGCCGGCAGCACCAAACUCUUGAAUUUUACAGCGGAUUACAGUUCUGAUUUGAAAAGAAAAAACAAGUUAAAACUUUCAACAACGGAUCUCUUGGUUCUGGCAUCGAUGAAGAACGCAGCGAAAUGCGAUAAGUAAUGUGAAUUGCAGAAUUCAGUGAAUCAUCGAAUCUUUGAACGCACAUUGCGCCCGGCAGUAAUCUGCCGGGCAUGCCUGUCCGAGCGUCAUUUCAACCCUCGAACCUCCGUUUCCUCAGGGAAGCUCAGGGUCGGUGUUGGGGCGCUACGGCGAGUCUUCGCGACCCUCCGUAGGCCCUGAAAUACAGUGGCGGUCCCGCCGCGGUUGCCUUCUGCGUAGUAAGUCUCUUUUGCAAGCUCGCAUUGGGUCCCGGCGGAGGCCUGCCGUCAAACCACCUAUAACUCCAGAUGGUUUGACC